GUAGCAGCAGCACCUCAGGGAUUAUGGAAAAUCACAACACACAUCUGGCACCAGGCUUCACCUUUAACUAUCUUGUUCCAGCACCAGCAAAUGUGGCCGCCUCCUGGGGUCUGCUGGGACCAGGUGGCUCCAACAGUCUCUACCAAAUGUCCUUCCAGCAAUGGAACUGCUUCUCCCCGUGUGGCCCAAGAACCUCCCGGACCCCACUCUGCUCCUGGGGAUUCACCCUUCCCACCAGAGCACCACCAGAAAAGGAAUGUAAGCCAUCACAGGAAUCCCAACCCAAUACUCUUACCCAUAGAUUGAGAGCUUCAGAGGAAGUGAAGUGCCUUUUAAAAAAUAACUUCUAACUGGAUGAAUCCCUCUGUCCAAGCCAUCAGUAAGCGUCUCCCAGAUAGCACUCUUACGUCAGUGGAACAGUACCCAGGACAGCAAGAGGAUUGCAAUCCGAGGAGACAAGUCACAGAAUGAAACUGAUAGCAGGAGUUCAAAGGAAAACAACUCAAGUGGUAGGUGAGCAGAGAACAUAUAUGGACUCCUCCCCCAACUUGCAAGACUCAGAAGUAUUAUGGGGCAGAAGAGCAAUGGGCUUCCCACCACAUGUCCAAUAGGGGCUUGAGCCAUUCUAUUAAAAUAUUAAAGGAAAAUAUGAUCUAGAAUGCUGAGGAAUUUGGGGACAUAUAGGGGCAGAUCCUUGGGUUAACUGUAUUUGUUCAGUAAAAUUUGGGCAUUUCUGAUAUUCAAAGAAUUGUGCUAAAUGCUGUGAAAAGAUAAAUAAGACAGAACUUUUAAAUUAUUUAAAGGUUGGGGUGCCUGGGUGGCUCAGUCAGUUAAGUAUCUGACUUCAACUCAGGUCAUGAUCUCGUGGUUCAUGAGUUCAAGCCCCGCAUCGGGCUCUGUGCUGAAAGCUCAGAGCCUGGAGCCUGCUUCAGAUUCUGUGUCUCCCUCUCUCUCUGCCCCUCCCCUGCUCACACUCUGUCUCUCUCUCUCUCUCAAA